ACUGAACGCUGGCGGCAGGCCUAACACAUGCAAGUCGAACGAGUGGCGGACGGGUGAGUAAUGUCUGGGAAACUGCCUGAUGGAGGGGGCCAACUACUGGAAACGGUAGCUAAUACCGCAUACUCUUGUAUGAGCCCAGAUGGGAUUCGCUAGUAGGUGGGGUAUCGGCUCACCUAGGCGACGAGCCCUAGCUGGUCUGAGAGGGUGACAAGCCACACUGGAACUGAGAGACGAUGCAGAGUCCGACGGUAGGCAGCAGGGGGGAAUAUUGCACAAUGGGCGCAAGCCUGAUGCAGCAGUGCGGCGUGUAUGUAGAAGGCCUUCGGGUUGUAAAGUACGUUCAGCGGGGAGGCGUUACCCGCAGAAGAAGCACCGGCGAGCACCGUGCCAGCAGCCGCGGUAAUUC
rnacentral:rRNA from 1 species